CCGCAAGUGACUGGAACCCAAACCAGGAAUUUGUUUGUUUUUAUAAUAGAAACUCUGGAGGAGAGGGGAGUUUGGAUUUCAGGCAGGGAUGGUCCCCAGAAGCCUAACAGACAAGUAACUAAGGCAGAAUGAAGAUCUGCUUUCCCAACUGUUCCAGAGAUGUCCCACAGCUGUUUCUCAUUGGCGUUACUUGGAUGAUGUGCUCAUCGCUGGAUCUGGGGAAGGGGUGGACCCCGACCAAUCGGUCCACAUCCAGCUGCAGUCGGGUGGACAGUGCGCUGAGCCCAGGCGCCAGCCAAGGGGCCUCUUCUGCUGGACUAACGGCACUCACUCACUCCCCCACUCCCCCACGAACUUUUCCAGGAAUGUUGCGUGAAAUCGCAUUCACAGCUUGACGUCAGCCAUGGCCAGACAUUACAUCACAGAAAAGAGCAAAUGCUAUUUCGUGAGCACGUUACCGGUCAGCAGUGACCAAGACCCAGUGCCUGCCCUGGCAGAGCUCUGUCCUAAGGAGCGGGGCACAAACACACGGGAAUAUGAUAAAUGCUACGAUGGAAAAGCAUGGAACCCACGAGAGCAUAUCAUAUAAACGAUCCCAAGAAGGCUUCCCUAGGGACGUGAAAUUUGAAACUUGAAGGACGAGGAGAUUUAAGUAGACAAAGGAUGCAGAGAACUGUGUUUCAGGGAGAAGGAACAGCAUGUGCAAAGCCCUGUGCCAAGAGAGAGAGAAGGUAAAUCUGAGCGAUGUUGCUGGAGGAGGUGGCAACAGAGUAGGAAUGACGGGACCAGUUUGGUGUGGUGAGCAUCAAGGCCAAGUGUGGCUUCAGGCAAAACUAGGACUUUGAUUUUUAUGCUGAGACAAUUUGAGCAAGGCUCUCCUCGGAUUGCACUGGGGAUGAUCUUGUCCGUUCCUUCUUUUGUACUGCAUCACACCAGAAGAUUCUAUGAACUCAUUUUAUGGUACAGAUCUUUCUAUCUCCUUUACAGCUGAGGAGGCAGGAGACUGCUCCAUCCCUUCCUGACAUGGCUUUUGCUAAUGAAGAAGACUUGCAUUUCAAGCUGGGCGCUGUGGCACACGCCUGUAAUCCCAACAGCUCGGGAGGCUGAGGCAGGAGGAUCAGGAGUUCAAAGCCAGCCUCAGCAAAGGUGAGGCCCUAAGCAACUCAGUGAGACCCUGUCUCUAAAUAAAAUAUAAACUAGGGCUGGGGAAGUGGCUCAGUGGUCGAGUGCCCCUGGGUUCAAUACCUGGUACCUGUCCACCCACCCCCAAAUAAAAACACUUUCAUUUCAAAAAUCAGCCUCUGGAAGUUCUGAUGAGACCAGAAUAAGUCAAAAGGCAGAGCUGGAGACAGCAGCACUGCACUGGCAAUGAAAUCUGUUUCAUGGCUUCCCUUUAGCCCAAGAUGAUCUCUGAAGUGAGGUCAGGGGUCAGUGUGGGGGCCAUCAGCUCACGACAGAACAGCCUGAGCGACAUGGUCAGAGAGAAGACUCGGGGCCCAGACAGCCGCUUCCAGCAUCUCUGGUCUUGGUGUGGGGGACAGAGCCAACGUACCCGUGACCACAGAGACAGGAUGAGGACCAGGAGGGGGCACUUAGAAGUGGGCCACCUAUAGUCCACAAUGAAGAAGGCCUUCCCUGACUGGCCGAGGCGGGCCAUGAGGUGGUUCUUGGUAACUGGUCUUGCAGAAAUCCGGGGAGCAGACCUCUCUUUCUCCCCGACACUUGGAGAGUGCUCAGAGCCUCUGCGGUCAGGGGGUGGUCAACGCUGCUCUCCUGCCGGUGCUUCCUGCUCCUGUGUGGCCUUGAGGCAGCUGCCCAAGCUCUCUGGACUGCAUCGAGAACUGCGGUCAGUUUUAGUAGCUGCCUCGCAGAGCUGUUGUGAGGAUUGUAAGAGAUCACACAGGUGGUGUUUAAACAGCAGCUGCUGCUGCAGUGGGGGUGGGGAGGCAGCUCAGUGGUAGAGCUUACCUGGCCCCGGCUUCCUUCCUCCAAGCUGCAAAAAAUAAAGAGCACUUGGCACGUAAUAGGUGUUCAAUAAAGUCAGCUAUUAUUAUGAAUGGGGUCUCUAACCUCCCCUAACAAACUCGCUUCAGAUGUAAACAGAUUAUUUUAUGGAAGGGUCAGUUUAUUUGUUUUGACUCUACUGCAGCAGCCAGAAUUCCCAAUUUUAAAUAGACUUAAAUGACAAAGAUGGAACUUGUUGGUACGUGUCAUUUAAAAGUCCAGAUAUAUGUAGCUUCAGGUGUGGCUGGAUCUAAGGUGCUCAGAGGGUGGCAGAAAGAAUGUGUCUCUGCCUAUCCUGUCAGCUCCCCGUGGCUCUAUUUUGUCCUCAUUCUCAGGCUCACCUCUCCCUGCUGGGGGACACAAUGGCUUCCAGCAACUCACGAGGCUGCCUUUGCUAAAAGCAGGAUAAACUGGGCAUCUGUGCAUUCACUUGGUGUCUGUCUCCUUGAUGACCUUAAACUUUGCUCAGCUCUGCAUGCAGCAUGUUAAGAUCAAACUAGGGAAGCACAAGAAAUCAAAUCAAGAAUCAAUAAGUGGGAUGGUGUCAAACAAAAAGCUUCACAGCAAAGGAAACAAUCUCGUGAAGACAGAGCCCACAGACCGGGAGAACAUCUUGGCCACGCACCUCAGACAGAACAUCAAUCUCUAGGCUAUACGAAGAACUCAAAAACCUUAGCCCCAAAAUAAUAAUAAUAACCCAGUCAAUAAAUGGACAAAAGAACCGGAAAGGCACUUCACAGAAGAAAAAAUACAAAUGGUCAACAAAUAUAUGAAAAAAUUUCAUCAUCUCUAGCAAUUAGAAAAAUGAAAAUUAAAACCGUACUGAGAUUCCAUCUCAGUCCAGUCAGAAUGGCAACUAUUAACAACAAAUGUUGGCGAGGAUGUGGGGAAAGGGAUACACUCAUACACUGCUGGUGGGACUGCAAAUGGGUGCAACCACUCUGGAAAACAGUAUAGACAUUCCUUAGAACACUUGGAAUGGAACCACCAUUUAACCCGGUUAUCCCCCUCCUUGGUAUAUACCCAAACGAGUUAAAAUCAGCAUACUAUAGUGACAGAGCCACAUCAAUGUUUAUAGCAGCUCAAUUCACAAUAUCUAAGCUAUGGAACCAAACUAAUUGCCCUUCAACAGAUGAAUGUAUAAAGAAAAUGUGGUACAUAUACACAAUAGAAUAUCACUCAGCCAUAAAGAAGAAUGAAAUUAUGGCACUUGUUGGUAAAUGGAUAGAACUGGACACUAUCAUGUUAAGUGAAAUAAACCAA